UGGAAGAACACCAGUGGCGAAGGCGGCUGUCUGGUCUGUAACUGACGCUGAGGCUCGAAAGUAUGGGUAGCAAACAGGAUUAGAUACCCUGGUAGUCCAUACCGUAAACGAUGAAUGCUAAGUGUUGGAGGGUUUCCCCCUUCAGUGCUGCAGCUAACGCAUUAAGCAUUCCGCCUGGGGAGUACGGCCGCAAGGCUGAAACUCAAAGGAAUUGACGGGGGCCCGCACAAGCGGUGGAGCAUGUGGUUUAAUUCGAAGCUACGCGAAGAACCUUACCAGGUCUUGACAUACUAUGCAAAUCUAAGAGAUUAGACGUUCCCUUCGGGGACAUGGAUACAGGUGGUGCAUGGUUGUCGUCAGCUCGUGUCGUGAGAUGUUGGGUUAAGUCCCGCAACGAGCGCAACCCUUAUUAUCAGUUGCCAGCAUUAAGUUGGGCACUCUGGUGAGACUGCCGGUGACAAACCGGAGGAAGGUGGGGAUGACGUCAAAUCAUCAUGCCCCUUAUGACCUGGGCUACACACGUGCUACAAUGGAUGGUACAACGAGUUGCGAACUCGCGAGAGUAAGCUAAUCUCUUAAAGCCAUUCUCAGUUCGGAUUGUAGGCUGCAACUCGCCUACAUGAAGUCGGAAUCGCUAGUAAUCGCGGAUCAGCAUGCCGCGGUGAAUACGUUCCCGGGCCUUGUACACACCGCCCGUCACACCAUGAGAGUUUGUAACACCCAAAGUCGGUGGGGUAACCUUUAGGAACCAGCCGCCUAAGGUGGGACAGAUGAUUAGGGUGAAGUCGUAACAAGGUAACCAAGGGCGAAUCG
rnacentral:rRNA from 1 species